rnacentral:lncRNA from 1 species
GUCCUUUGCUGCAUCUGCAUUUGAGCUGCCCAAAAGCCCAACUAAAUUAAUCCCUCCAAAAGUAAAGGAGAUGAAAUCAACCAAUCUGAGGGAAGCCUGACCAAGGCAUUCAUGUAUCAAAAAGAUAUGGAAUACCUACCCACUGCAUACAUGAUACUAGAGCACUGGGUAUUAUUUGAAGCAGUUUUUUUCAAAAAAGUCACGGAGAAACAUUACUCAGAGCCUCUCCCUCACACCCUGCAGAUAGAGCUCUGAAUCUCGGCAUCUGUGAGUUGUUUCUUUUGGGCUUUUUAAAAAGUCUUCCAGAAUUGUGGAAUGGGAUAGUUUCAGUUAAAAUAUCUGUUUUUGAAAAUCAUGACCAAUAAUAAAAAUCAAGAAUGUCCUAUUACAUAUUUCAUACCUUUAAGAAUUUCGUUUUGCUCUAAUUGGUCUUAUUGGAUUAAAUGAUUUCUAAAGUCUUCUCUGGGACUUCACUUUUGUGUUUCAAGUUUCUUAUCCAUCUGAAAGCCAUAUAUUUGGGUUAAACCAAAUUAUUAGCAAUAGGUAUCUUUGUAGAAUUUCUAGUAGUUUG